rnacentral:rRNA from 1 species
ACGCCCGUAGUUGGAUCAGCGGAUUUGGAGAACGGUCUGCCGAUGGGCUGUACUGUUCUCCUGUCCUAUUUUCUCUAGUUCGCUCUAGGUGCUCUUCACUGAGUGUCUAGAGUGGCUGGAACUUUUACUUUGAAAAAAUUAGAGUGCUCAAAGCAGGCGUCUCAGCCUGAAUAGUGGUGCAUGGAAUAAUGGAAUAGGACCUCAGUUCUAUUUUGUUGGUUUCGGAACAUGAGGUAAUGAUUAAGAGGGACAGACGGGGGCAUUCGUAUUGCGACGUUAGAGGUGAAAUUCUUGGAUCGUCGCAAGAGAAACUACUGCGAAAGCAUUUGCCAAGAAUGUUUUCAUUAAUCAAGGACGAUAGUUAGAGGUUCGAAGGCGAUCAGAUACCGCCCUAGUUCUAACCGUAAACGAUGUCAACCAGCGAUCCGCAGGAGUUAUUCAUGACUCUGCGGGCAGCUUCCGGGAAACCAAAGUUUUUGGAUUCCGGGGGGAGUAUGGUUGCAAAGCUGAAACUUAAAGGAAUUGACGGAAGGGCACCACCAGGAGUGGAGCCUGCGGCUUAAUUUGACUCAACACGGGAAACCUCACCAGGCCCGGACACCGGAAGGAUUGACAGAUUGAGAGCUCUUUCUUGAUUCGGUGGGUGGUGGUGCAUGGCCGUUCUUAGUUGGUGGAGCGAUUUGUCUGGUUAAUUCCGAUAACGAACGAGACUCUAGCCUACUAAAUAGAGGGCAAAUUAUUCGUUUGCUGUACUUCUUAGAG